rnacentral:rRNA from 1 species
CUUGACCUCGGAUCAGGUAGGGAUACCCGCUGAACU